rnacentral:rRNA from 1 species
AAUUGACGAGCGAGUCUAAUGGAAAGGUUUUGGGAAAGCCUGCCAGAGAGGGUGAAAGCCCCGUACAUGAAAGACGAGUGAGCAUGGCAGUAUCCAGAGUACCACGAGACACGAGAAACCUUGUGGGAAUGAGCGGGGACCACCCCGUAAGGCUAAAUACUCCUUAGUGACCGAUAGCGCAUAGUACUGUGAAGGAAAGGUGAAAAGGACCCCGGGAGGGGAGUGAAAGAGAACCUGAAACCAUAUGUUUACAAGCUGUGGAAGAGCUUUACAUGCUCAACCGCGUACUUUUUGUAGAACGGUCCGGCGAGUUGCGCUGGCUGGCGAGGUUAAGGACUGAAGGUCCGGAGCCGAAGGGAAACCAAGUCUGAAUAGGGCGAAUAUAGUCAGUCGGAGCAGACCCGAAACCGGGUGAUCUACCCAUGUCCAGGUUGAAGUUGCCGUAAAAGGCAAUGGAGGACCGAACGCACAUCCGUUGAAAAGGGUGGCGAUGAGGUGUGGGUAGGGGAGAAAUUCCAAUCGAACCCGGAGAUAGCUGGUUCUCC